CUCAGGAUGAACGCUAGCGAUAGGCUUAACACAUGCAAGUCGAGGGGUAACACGUAGGGUAGCUUGCUACCCUUGGUGACGACCGGCGGAUGGGUGCGUAACGCGUAUGCAACCUGCCUUAUAGAGGGGGAUAACCCGGAGAAAUUCGGACUAAUACCGCGUAAUAUAGAAGGGGGCAUCCUCUUUUAUUGAAAGAUUAAUUGCUAUAAGAUGGGCAUGCGUUCCAUUAGGUAGUUGGUAGGGUAAUGGCCUACCAAGCCGACGAUGGAUAGGGGAGCUGAGAGGCUGAACCCCCACACUGGGACUGAGACACGGCCCAGACUCCUACGGGAGGCAGCAGUGAGGAAUAAUGGUCAAUGGAGGCAACUCUGAACCUGCCAAGUCGCGUGAAGGAAGACGGUCCUAAGGAUUGUAAACUUCUUUAGUAGGUGAGUAGAAGUAGGGUCGUGUACCCUAUAGGCAAGUAACCUAAGAAUAAGUAUCGGCUAACUCCGUGCCAGCAGCCGCGGUAAUACGGGGGAUACGAGCGUUAUCCGGAAUUAUUGGGUUUAAAGGGUGCGUAGGUUGUUGUUUAAGUCAGUGGUGAAAAGCUAGGGCUCAACCCUAGUCUUGCCGUUGAAACUGGAUAGCUAGAGAGUAGACGCUGUGGGCGGAAUAUGUGGUGUAGCGGUGAAAUGCAUAGAUAUCACGUGGAACUCCGAUUGCGUAGGCAGCUCACAAGACUACGUCUGACACUGAAGCACGAAAGCGUGGGGAUCAAACAGGAUUAGAUACCCUGGUAGUCCACGCCGUAAACGAUGAUUACUCGGAGUAUGCGAUAUAAUGUAUGCUCCCAAGCGAAAGCGAUAAGUAAUCCACCUGGGGAGUACGUUGGCAACGAUGAAACUCAAAGGAAUUGACGGGGGCCCGCACAAGCGGAGGAACAUGUGGUUUAAUUCGAUGAUACGCGAGGAACCUUACCCGGGAUUGAAAUGUGUAGGAAGAGGAGAGGAAACUUUUCUUGUCUGGUUUACCAGUCUGCAUGUAGGUGCUGCGUGGUUGUCGUCAGCUCGUGCCGUGAGGUGUCGGCUUAAGUGCCAUAACGAGCGCAACCCUUAUCGUUAGUUGCUAUCAGGUAAAGCUGAGGACUCUAGCGAGACUGCCGUCGUAAGGCGAGAGGAAGGUGGGGAUGACGUCAAAUCAGCACGGCCCUUACAUCCGGGGCGACACACGUGUUACAAUGGUGAGGACAGAGGGCAGCUACCUGGCGACAGGGUGCGAAUCUCGAAACCUCAUCUCAGUUCGGAUCGGAGUCUGCAACUCGACUCCGUGAAGCUGGAUUCGCUAGUAAUCGCGCAUCAGCCAUGGCGCGGUGAAUACGUUCCCGGGCCUUGUACACACCGCCCGUCAAGCCAUGGGAGUUGGGGGUACCUGAAGUGCGUGACCGCGAGGAGCGUCCGAGGGUAAACCUGAUGACUGGGGCUAAGUCGUAACAAAGGUAACGUAAGCUUCAC
rnacentral:rRNA from 1 species